rnacentral:rRNA from 1 species
GUAGGGAAUCUUCCACAAUGGACGAAAGUCUGAUGGAGCAACGCCGCGUGAGUGAUGAAGGUUUUCGGAUCGUAAAACUCUGUUGUAAGGGAAGAACACGUACGAGAGGUAAUGCUCGUACCUUGACGGUACCUUACGAGAAAGCCACGGCUAACUACGUGCCAGCAGCCGCGGUAAUACGUAGGUGGCAAGCGUUGUCCGGAAUUAUUGGGCGUAAAGCGCGCGCAGGCGGCCUUUUAAGUCUGAUGUGAAAGCCCCCGGCUCAACCGGGGAGGGCCAUUGGAAACUGGAAGGCUUGAGUACAGAAGAGAAGAGUGGAAUUCCACGUGUAGCGGUGAAAUGCGUAGAGAUGUGGAGGAACACCAGUGGCGAAGGCGACUCUUUGGUCUGUAACUGACGCUGAGGCGCGAAAGCGUGGGGAGCAAACAGGAUUAGAAACCCCAGUAGUCC